UACGAAGGGGGCGAGCGUUGUUCGGAUUUACUGGGCGUAAAGGGCGCGCAGGCGGCGCAUUUUGUCAGGCGUGAAAGCCCCGGGCUUAACCUGGGAACUGCGUUUGAUACGGAUGGGCUAGAGUUCGGGAGAGGAGAGUGGAAUUCCCAGUGUAGAGGUGAAAUUCGUAGAUAUUGGGAAGAACACCGAGCGAGGAGGCGCU
rnacentral:rRNA from 1 species